AUGCCCUACUUUCAUGGAAAAACUGACGGACUUUUUUUUUUAUAUUUUCAGAUGCAGAUCCGAAGACAAUUGUUUGCGCUUUCUUCAAGCAUGGUCAGUGUGCCAAAGGAAAACAAGUGCAAGUUUUCUCAUGACUUGGCAAUGGAGCGUAAGGCAGAGAAGCGUAGUCUCUACGUGAUGGCCGUGACAAUGAUGAUAAAGGUGAAGACUCGAUGGAUAAACUGGGAUGAGGCGAAAUUGAAGGAAGUUGUCGAGAGAAAAAACACGGUGAAUCAAAAACUCCGACAACAACAAUAAUCUGCAAAUUUUUCCUAGAAGCUGUUGAGAAAAGCAAAUAUGGUUGGUUUUGGACCUGUCCCAACGGACCUAGCUGUAUUUAUCGUCAUGCUUUGCCUCCAGGAUUUGUCUUAAAGAAGGUACUAAAGUUAAUGUCUUAUUAUUAUCGCUGUUUUUGUGGUUGUGGUCGUUGUUCAUUAUUGUUGUUGUUGUUGCUUUUGUUGUCAUUUUGUCUAAGAAUCUUCUAAAUGUCACUAAUGUGUAAGACCAUGAGGAAGAGAAAAGGAAAAAAAAAAUGGUACUAGUAGACAUUAUCCACCAAAUAACAUCGGUCUACAUUGGAGCCAUUUUUUAGUAAGUAAGUAGAACAUGGGUAUAAAAAAUUAAAGUAAAAAAAUGAAAAGUAAAAUGCAGCACCAGAAGAAAGAUACCUACACAUUUUAUGAAAUUUUUGAAACUAAAUUUGUAUAACAAAGAACGACAUGAAGUGAAAAUAAAUUUUUAAAGCGAUUCUCCCUCACUUUCGGAGAUUGUCUCAGUGCAGUGAUCCAUGCCUAAGCUGGCAUCAGAGAUUUCUGAUGAUAUUGCAUCAGCCCUCGUGUAAAAAUCUGUCCAUAGUUAGUCAAGCUCCAAGCUGACUGUAUAGCGUACCACCAUUUUUUUCACAUAAAGUCCAUUUUAUGCAGCAAAAUCUCUUGUUCUUCCCAGCUAUCAAUUAAUAAUUAAUUGAUUUAAAUUGCAUCCGAAAGGAAUAAUAUUUUAAAAACAUCAAGAACAAUACUUGAGAAAGACUAAUAGAAUCACACAAGAUAGUUUAUUUAGGCAAGGUUUUCACAUCUCUCCCCGGGCAUCUUUAAUUACUG
rnacentral:lncRNA from 1 species